AGGUAGGCAUCUACUAGUUGGGAAAGGUGCUACGGCACUACUGAGAGAGGAGCCCGCGGCGCAUUAGCUAGUUGGUGGGGUAACGGCCUACCAAGGCGACGAUGCGUAGCCGACCUGAGAGGGUGACCGGCCACACUGGGACUGAGACACGGCCCAGACUCCUACGGGAGGCAGCAGUAGGGAAUCUUCGGCAAUGGGCGAAAGCCUGACCGAGCAACGCCGCGUGAGCGAAGAAGGCCUUCGGGUUGUAAAGCUCAGUCACCCGGGAAGAGCGGGCAGGAGAGGGAAUGCUCCUGUCGAGACGGUACCGGGAGAGGAAGCCCCGGCUAACUACGUG
rnacentral:rRNA from 1 species